rnacentral:rRNA from 1 species
UACGUAGGGGGCGAGCGUUGUCCGGAUUUAUUGGGCGUAAAGAGCGUGUAGGCGGUUCGGUAAGUCUGUCGUGAAAUCCUGAGGCUCAACCUCGGGCGUGCGAUGGAUACUGCCGGGCUAGAGGGUGGUAGAGGCGAGUGGAAUUCCUGGUGUAGCGGUGAAAUGCGCAGAUAUCAGGAAGAACACCUAUGGCGAAGGCAGCACUCUGGGACGGUACUGACGCUGAGACGCGAAAGCGUGGGGAGCGAACAGG